GAUGGAAGAACGUAGCGAAAUGCGAUAAGUAAUGUGAAUUGCAGAAUUCAGUGAAUCAUCGAAUCUUUGAACGCACAUUGCGCCCGCCAGUAUUCUGGCGGGCAUGCCUGUUCGAGCGUCAUUUCAACCCUCAAGCCCCCGGGCUUGGUGUUGGGGAUCGGCGUGCCCUCGCGGCGCGCCGUCCCCUAAAUCUAGUGGCGGUCUCGCUGUAGCUUCCUCUGCGUAGUAGCAACACUCGCACUGGAUCGCAGCGCGGCCACGCCGUUAAACCCCCCACUUCUGAAAGUUUGACCUCGGAUCAGGUAGGAAUACCCGCUGAACUUAAGCAUAUCAAUAAGCGGAGGA
rnacentral:misc_RNA from 1 species